rnacentral:rRNA from 1 species
UACAGAGGGUGCGAGCGUUAAUCGGAAUUACUGGGCGUAAAGCGCGCGUAGGCGGCUUUGCAAGUCGGGUGCGAAAUCCCCAGGCUUAACCUGGGAACUGCAUUCGAGACUGCAUUGCUAGAGUAUGGGAGAGGGAAGUGGAAUUUCCGGUGUAGCGGUGAAAUGCGUAGAUAUCGGAAGGAACAUCAGUGGCGAAAGCGACUUCCUGGACCAAUACUGACGCUCAUGUGCGAAAGCGUGGGGAGCAAACAGG